ACGGAGUUAGAAGUGUUGGUAUUUUCUUGUGUCAAUCUUUUUUUUUGCUGGUGAGUGUCAAUCAAGGAGAUAUAUCAAAAUAUUAUAACUAAAAAUUAAUUCCAGUUCAGAGGAACAUAAAGCUGAGCAUGCAGCGAAUACAACUUUUUUUAUUCCAAGAUAUUCAUGACAAUACUUGUCAUUGCAACAAUCUGACAUGAUGUCUUAAGGCAAAGGGAGGGGAUGAGUGGAGGUUGCUUCUAAAGGAGGGCAAUCAGGGCCACAAAUGCAUUCUUGGCUGGUUCUAAAGCAUUUAUCUUGCUCCAAUGCACAACAGAAGCACAAAUCAUUUGGGCAUGGUGGAGGAUUCUUUUGGCACAUGCAAAUUUGGAUCUUGCUGCUAUCAUCAGGUUUUUGAGCUGCAUGCAAACAAGUGUCCACAUUAAACUAGGUAAUUUGUAAAAU
rnacentral:lncRNA from 1 species